GGACUAAAUACUUUUUUCUUUUUCUUUUCAUUUGGUUUUCCAUUUAGGGUUUACAAUUAUGCUAUUGUUAUUUUCGAAUGCGUAUUGUUUGCUGGUAGUUUAUGGAACGCGCACCUAUAAUUUAUAUAAUUUAAAGGAUUACAUAUAAAUAUACUAUAAAACACUAUAUAUAUAUAAAUAAUAUGUAUCUAUAGGUCCAUAAUAUAAUAUUUACACAUAUGCUUCACGGACAAAGUAUUUACAACACAAUUUAUCUCCGCCACUCAAGCAUAGUACAAAUGAUCAUCGUUAUUUGGUUUCAUCUGCUCCUGAGGGUUGAAGUAGCACUCGCCGCCGGGAUCCAGGACU
rnacentral:lncRNA from 1 species